rnacentral:rRNA from 1 species
UGAGUGCCAUAGACUAAAGUGAAAAAGAAGUUCUUUUAAAAGAACUUUGUAUAUGAGCCUUAAUUGGAUACAAAGGUCUCGAGUAGCAGUUUAUAAAUGAAAGUGUAAGCAUUCCACCUCAUGACUAAAGCGGCAACGCCCAAAUUGAAAUCAUUAGACCGUUUCUGAAACCAGUAGUGAAGUAUGUUAUUUAAUUCGAUAACCCGCGAAUAACCUUACCACGUUUUGAAUUUAUUAAACAAGUGUUGCACGGCUGUCUUCAGUUAAUGUCGUGAGAUUUUGGUUUGUUCCAUUAAUUAACGAAAACCCUUGUUUCAUUUUUAUAUGAAAUAGUUCACCGUUAUAUUGGAAAGAUAAAAGGGAUCAAGACAAGUCAUCAUGGCCUUAAUAAC